GGGGAAGUAGCUCAAUAGUAGAGCCGCCUGCUAUGUGGGCGAGUGUUGCGGGGAUAAAAACUAAUCACUUUUAGACUGCCGGUAACAUAGGGUGUGAUUAACCUGAGGUGUGAGUGCAAAUCCCACCUUCUCCA
rnacentral:tRNA from 1 species